rnacentral:snoRNA from 1 species
GGGGAGAUAUGAUGAUCAACAAAUUGGUCCGUGUUUCAGAUUAACCGUGACCAAAAAAAAAAAAAAAAAAAAAAAAAAAAAAA